UUUAUCAUUUAGAGCCUUCAUAGAAUGCAUCUCUCUUGACGUCUACACUCUAUCUCUCCACAUUGCUAUGUUGCCUCUCUCCAUAGAAACCCAUAACGAUAGGGCUUUAAAUCCUUAGAGAAAAAUGGUAGAUCUCCUUUGAUCUUCGGAAGUCCAAAAUCGAGUAAAAUUGAUUAGUAAUUAUCUUCACCGCUUCCCAAAGAUGUGAAUUACUUCAAUCUACUUGUUUCAGAUAUGCGUAAUAAUCGAUUUUGAAUCUGGGCUAUUGGAGUAUGUUCACUUGCAAAUUGCAUAAUUUUUCAAGGACUUACUAUUCCAUAUAUGGCCAUGUCGAGAAUCUAGCACAAGAGAUACAAAGAAGCUGCAUCAGUUGAAUGAAGCCAAACUAUGGCAGAUAUGUUUUUCUUUUUUAAUGAUGUUAUAUAUGCUAUGACUUAAAGAUUUUUUCAUUGUGUUAUCGAAACCUGAGAAUUAAUGAAUUUAUAUGGUUUUGUAUUUGCAAAUCUAAUGUCUCCUUAACUGUCACAUGAAUUAUUGACAUUGUGAAAUAUUUAGAGAUUUAGUCCUCCUCUUAACUUCCUGCUGAGAAUGACUGGAUUAAUUCAACUACAGAAUGAAAAUAAUCCAAUGGUAAUCCAUCUAGUUGAAAAAGGCAUUAAUUAUCAUAUGAAGAUUAGAAAUAAAGUUGAUUUUGAGCUUAUACCAGCCUUUGAGAUCUUCCAGUAGAAAUUUACUUUUGAACAAAAGACUACUGCAAAAAUAUAGCCUAUGUUUCAUACAAUAGACGUUUUGUAUAUUAGUUUUGAUUGAAUUUUUUAGUAGCAAUUCCUUGAUAUGCUAGCAUGAGUUUGUGAAUGUUACAUAGUUGUUCGAUUAAUUAUUGAUAAACUUCAUAUGUGGUUGUUUAUAUGAUUUUGUUUUUUUAUCAUUUCAGGACAUAUAUUAUGAUGUUCAAAAAUUUGGCAAGUGGCAAGACUUCAUUGUGAUUAAGAGAUGUAGAAUCUUUUAGUUGUCUCAUAUUGUCUUUUUAUAGCUAUUUGAUAGCACAACUUAUUAGAUUUAAAAAGAUACUAGUUAGAUUCAAAUAGUUUAGCAUUUUUGUUAAGUUGACACUUUGAAUUUAUGAAUUAGUAUUUGUUUUUGUUUGUUG